AUUAUGCGUAUGUUUGGUGUAACGUUGAAAAGUAAAAACCUCAAAUGAUAUAAGUAUUUUCUUUUUUAAGAAUACAAAGUUGCGAUAAAGAUUGAAAAUUUUGAUGGUAUUAAUUUUUAUAUGGAUCACCAUUGAGAACUUUGCCUAAGGGCUAAAGUCUGUCACGAGUCAAUUAGAUGUUACAGACUUGCAACAACUUGUUGUGCGUUAUAUAUAUAAUUGCAUAUUUCUUGGAUAUCAGGAUGCUACAAUGUUCUUUUUACUCUGGAUACCAAGACCAAAGGCAAAAGACAACACAAUU